GAGAUGUUAGUAAAACUAUUACAAACCCUUGUCAAGGGUUAAUUACUAGUUAAAGUCUUGUACACCUUU
rnacentral:tRNA from 1 species